rnacentral:rRNA from 1 species
AGACCCGAAACCCGGUGAUCUAGCCAUGGGCAGGUUGAAGGUUGGGUAACACUAACUGGAGGACCGAACCGACUAAUGUUGAAAAAUUAGCGGAUGACCUGUGGCUGGGGGUGAAAGGCCAAUCAAACCGGGAGAUAGCUGGUUCUCCCCGAAAGCUAUUUAGGUAGCGCCUCGUGAAUUCAUCUCCGGGGGUAGAGCACUGUUUCGGCCAGGGGGCCAUCCCGGCUUACCAAUCCGAUGCAAACUGCGAAUACCGGAGAAUGUUAUCACGGGAGACACACGGCGGGUGCUAACGUCCGUCGUGAAGAGGGAAACAACCCAGACCGCCAGCUAAGGUCCCAAAGUCAUGGUUAAGUGGGAAACGAUGUGGGAAGGCCCAGACAGCCAGGAUGUUGGCUUAGAAGCAGCCAUCAUUUAAAGAAAGCGUAAUAGCUCACUGGUCGAGUCGGCCUGCGCGGAAGAUGUAACGGGGCUAAACCAUGCACCGAAGCUGCGGCAGCGACACUGAUGUGUUGUUGGGUAGGGGAGCGUUCUGUAAGCCGUUGAAGGUGGCCUGUGAGGGUUGCUGGAGGUAUCAGAAGUGCGAAUGCUGACAUAAGUAACGAUAAAGCGGGUGAAAAGCCCGCUCGCCGGAAGACCAAGGGUUCCUGUCCAACGUUAAUCGGGGCAGGGUGAGUCGACCCCUAAGGCGAGGCCGAAAGGCGUAGUCGAUGGGAAACGGGUUAAUAUUCCCGUACUUGGUGUUACUGCGAAGGGGGGACGGAGAAGGCUAUGUUGGCCGGGCGACGGUUGUCCCGGUUUAAGCGUGUAGGUGUGUGUUCCAGGUAAAUCCGGUUCACUUUAACACUGAGGCGUGAUGACGAGGCACUACGGUGCUGAAGCAACAAAUGCCCUGCUUCCAGGAAAA